CUUAAGCAGGAAAACAGCGAAAGGCUGGCACUACCACCAGUAAACUGUCCUGAUUUGGCUCACUGGUCCUGAUUGGGUCCUGAGAGGGCAAAGAAAGAGAGUUGCAGAAAACUACAUCAUGGUAAAAAUGGUGGAUGAAACUUAGGCUGUAAACGUAGGUCCCAAUUUGCCAGAGAGUUACUUGCCACUAGGUCUGUAUCGGAUUGUUCUUUUAGUAAUUGUCCUAUUACAGAAGCAGAAGCAGGAUAAUUACACAGCCACUUAACUUUGUUUUAUAGAUACAAACGAGCCUUCUGCUGAACUGCAUGAGGCAGGAGAGAAACACCCACGAUAAGUUUGUUACUGUGAACAGAUUCCACGGUUACUUUCCAAAGGAGAAUGGUGAUCUGUAACUCAAUAGUGGCAAUACUUCAUUAACAAAUGAUAUAACAAGUCAAAGGAAAGUUAAAACUAGAGCCUUUAACUAUGUGAAAUAAUUUGUCUUUGACCCAUGUUUUGUCCUUUUGUUUCUGUAACAAUGACUUUUAUAUUAAAACCCAGUUCCCUGUA